rnacentral:rRNA from 1 species
CCUACGGGAGGCAGCAGUGGGGAAUAUUGGGCAAUGGAGGAAACUCUGACCCAGCGACGCCGCGUGCGGGAUGAAAGCCUUCGGGUUGUAAACCGCUUUCAGUAGGGAAGAAGCGAAAGUGACGGUACCUACAAAAGAAGCACCGGCUAACUAUGUGCCAGCAGCCGCGGUAAUACAUAGGGUGCAAGCGUUGUCCGGAAUUAUUGGGCGUAAAGAGCUCGUAGGUCGUUUGUUACGUCGGAUGUGAAAACCUGAGGCUCAACCUCAGGCCUGCAUUCGAUACGGGCAAACUAGAGUUUGGUAGGGGAGACUGGAAUUCCUGGUGUAGCGGUGGAAUGCGCAGAUAUCAGGAGGAACACCAAUGGCGAAGGCAGGUCUCUGGGCCAAUACUGACACUGAGGAGCGAAAGUCUGGGGAGCGAACAGGAUUAGAUACCCUGGUAGUCCAGACCGUAAACGGUGGGCACUAGUUGUGGGAACCUUCCACGGUUUCUGCGACGCAGCUAACGCAUUAAGUGCCCCGCCUGGGGAGUACGAUCGCAAGAUUAAAACUCAAAGGAAUUGACGG